GACGGCAAGCAUUACAAAAGCUGAAGACUUGAAACUCAAAUACGAGGUAAUCUUAUCACCAUUUAGUAGUACACAGUACUGCUGUAAAUUAUAAAGCGAUAUAUGAGGUGCCAGGUGACGAUUAUAGAUAUUGGUAUUCGGAUGACAGUAAUGCCUGUGAAGAACUUCCAUUCCACAUUGUAAAUUGGGAUCUUCAAAACAGUCAGAAUGUAUCAACAGAGAAGUCUACCGAAGAUAUUUGCACGCUGUGUACUACAAAUGCGCGAACACAUAUUUUUGUACCCUGUGGUCAUCUCGCCUGUUGCAUUGAAUGUAUCGAACGUUUGGAACAUAAGUGAUGUCCGAUAUGCAAUACUACUUAUGAAACUUGUCUUAUAGUUAGAAAACCAAAACUCUUACAAUGAACACGGAAACAUACCUGAGCGGAGUAUUGAUAUGACGAAGUUUCCAAAAUUGGUUUUACCUAGAAUUGAUCAACAGCUGCAGACAAAUGGACGGCAAGCAUUACAAAAGCUGGAUAAUUCAAACUGUCAAGUUUAAUAAAAACCCUCUUGUAUUUUUGUACUCCGUGGUCAUUUUGCUGUUGCGUUUAAUGCAUCGAACGUUUGGAACGUUAUCGAUGUCCGGUAUGCGAUAUUAUAUUUGUGAAAAGUAUCUUAGAGUUAGAAAACCCGUAAGAAGCUGUCUGCUUCUGAAAUAUCUUAGCAUAAGAAAGCAUUUUUUAUAUUGGUAUUGUUUUUAUUGUGACAUUCAUAUUUUUGCAAUUAUACUUAUAUAUUUCAGUUUCGUCUUUAUUAUAAGCAAGGUUAUGUACUAUGGCGGUGUCCACAUGAGUUUAAACUAAUUUUUUUUAUAUGUAAUUGUCCUUAUCAAAUAGUCUACAAAGAGACGAGAACUAACGACGUUAUAAAUGUAAAUUCGUUGUCAGUGCGACAGAAAUGCAGAUCUUUUGUUUAAAAUUAUUUUUAUUUUCCUGUAAGUUAGUUCAGAGCGGAAGACAUUUUUUUCAUCUUUUUCUAUUUUAUUUUUAUAACGAUUAAGUACCUUUCAAAAUGUAAAU